GGUAUUGCUGUAGUGUUUUAGUGCCUAUGAACAGUGCAGUAUUAGAAAUUUUAAUGUUUCUACUUUCUGUCCUCAAAAUGAGCCGCAAGGGCCUGUGGGUGAUAGAUUCAUCAUUGGAGAGUAUGGUGUUAUCCUGCCUUAUGCAGAGUUAAGGGAAGAGACAUGGGGAAUCUCAUACCAGUGAGGGAAGAGUUUACCAAGAGAUGAGAAAACGGUUCCAUUAUCUAUGAAACAAUGAAAAUGCGUCUUGUAACAAUGCAAGGUUUUCCAGGAAAAUCAAUAGUUACAGAAUAAUAUAUUUACACUUUCUUGCUUUGUCUGGACAGAUAUCUUGCAUUUUGAAUAACUUUCAUUAAAAUGGAUGGAAAAGUGAUAAUUUUUUUUAUUUUUAAUCUAGAGGCAGUUUUCAAAAUCCUUUAUUUUCUAGAUGAUUUUACAUUACUCAGUCAUGGGAAAUAUUUCCAUGGGGUGGAUGGAGAGAAGGAAAGGAGGCAGCUCCUCAUUUUGAUUUCUGUGAUUUUUGUUGUUGUUCUUGAUGUUGUAGUGGGUCACGUGAGCAGGCCAUCCAUUUGUUUCAAUUGAAAGAAUUUACCAAACCUUUGACAUUAAUUGAAUUUACAAUACCCUCUGUUCUACUGUAGUUGCCUCUGUAGCAAUGGAAGAUGAUACAACAAAUAAUUUAUUAUUUCAAAUGAGUCAUGGAGUCAUAGGCUUGUGUUGGAAGGAACCUUAAAGAUCAUCUAGUUCCCACUCCCAGCUGAAAGAAGGAAGGAAGCAAAUAAGCAGCUAGAAUUGGCUUUAUUUCUUCAUUAUUUAUUAUUUCCUGCUGAUCCGGAAAACCAUGAAGGGGAACAUGACCCAGGUAUUAAACAGAGGACAGAAUCAGCAACGUGUACCAGAGAUGAACUGAUAACCAAGUUCUUCACAGCCCGCUCAGAUGUGAUUCCUUCUACACCUUUUUUCCUCCCUUUCCUAGUUUGAGCAUGCUCUGCUGUUGAGACAGAGCUUGGAAGAAAAAGAGAAUGAAAUCCCAAGGUUGGUUUAGAAAUCCGUAAGCCGUAAGGGAAACAUUCAUUACAGCGUGGUGCCAGCAGCCCUGUCCCUCCUCGCAGGGCUGAGGCAGUGCAGGGCUGGGAUCGUGGCCCUUGGCUUUGUCUUGUAAUCCUUGCAAUCCCAUCAUGUGUCAGUGCUCUCAUCAUCUGAGUGAAGAUAAUUAGAAGUGACUGGGUGAGAAAAGUUCCAUCUCUGUGGAAAAACUGCAGCACUCAAAAUCUGGUUUCCUUUGUUCCUCACUGGAACAAAAGAAGCACUUAAAACUGCUCCUAGGGGAAAACACUGAAUUAG